rnacentral:rRNA from 1 species
AGGUCAAGCAAUAAGGGCACAGGGCGGAUGCCUUGGCACUAAGAGCCGAUGAAAGACGUGAUAAGCUGCGAUAAGCUUCGGGGAGGAGCAAAUAUCCCGUGAUCCGGAGAUGUCUGAAUGGGGAAACCCACAUGAGCAAACCUCAUGUAUCCUACAGCCAAUACAUAACUGUAGGAAGGGAACCCGGGGAACUGAAACAUCUAAGUACCCGGAGGAAAAGAAAGAAAACUCGAUUCCGUAAGUAGCGGCGAGCGAACGCGGAGGAGCCUAAACCGGAAUGCGUGCAUUCCGGGGUUACGGACUGCAUUUAAGAUUCUUUGAAGCUAACAGAACGGUUUUGGGAAAACCGGCCAGAGAGGGUGAAAGCCCCGUACGUGAAAGCCGAUGAGACUGAGCAGGAUCCAGAGUACCACGAGACACGUGGAACCUUGUGGGAAAUCAGGGGGACCACCCCCUAAGGCUAAAUACUACUUAGUGACCGAUAGCGCAUAGUACUGUGAAGGAAAGGUGAAAAGGACCCCGGGAGGGGAGUGAAAGAGAACCUGAAACCCUGUGUCUACAAGCUGUGGAAGCACUUUAUAUGUGCAACCGCGUACUUUUUGUAGAACGGUCCGGCGAGUUACGCUUACUGGCAAGGUUAAGCACUUCAGGUGCGGAGCCGUAGGGAAACCAAGUCUUAAUAGGGCCAGAGUCAGUAGGAGUAGACCCGAAACCGGGUGAUCUAUCCAUGUCCAGGUUGAAGCUGCCGUAAGAGGUAGUGGAGGACCGAACCCACAUCCGUUGAAAAGGGUGGGGAUGAGGUGUGGAUAGGGGAGAAAUUCCAAUCGAACCCGGAGAUAGCUGGUUCUCCUCGAAAUAGCUUUAGGGCUAGCCUCGAUACAGAUUUGCGGAGGUAGAGCACUGAAUUUCCUAGGGGGCGUCAAAGCCUACCGAAGAAUAUCAAACUCCGAAUGCCGCGUAAUCGAUUAUCGGGAGUCAGACUGCACGAGAUAAGUUGGGCGGUCAAAAGGGAAAGAGCCCAGACCUUCAGUUAAGGUCCCAAAGUGUGCGUUAAGUGGAAAAGGAUGUGGGAUUUCGAAGACAACCAGGAUGUUGGCUCAGAAGCAGCCAUCCAUUCAAAGAGUGCGUAAUAGCUCACUGGUCGAGAGGUCCUGCGCCGAAAAUGUCCGGGGCUGAAACGCGCCACCGAAACUAAGGAACCGAAAGGUUGGUAGAGGAGCAUUGCAUGCGGGAAGAAGCAGUACCGAAAGGAGCUGUGGACUGCAUGGAAGAGAGAAUGCCGGAAUGAGUAGCGAGAUAGAGGUGGGAAUCCUCUAGGCCGAAUAUCCAAGGUUUCCAGAGUAAAGCUGAUCUGCUCUGGGUAAGUCGGGGCCUAAGGCGAGGACGAGAGUCGUAGCCGAUGGACAACAGGUGGAGAUUCCUGUACUGCGGUAUGACAGAACUGUGGGGACACGUAAGGAAAGCGGAAGCCGGGGAUGGAUUGUCCCGGUGCAAGCGGGGUACCAGCUACUUUGGCAAAUCCGGGUGGCAAUGGGAAGCCGUGAUGCGGAGUGAAANNNNNNNNNNAAUGGAGAGCCCGGUGCAAGCGGGGUACCAGCCACUUUGGCAAAUCCGGGUGGCAAUGGGAAGCCGUGAUGCGGAGUGAAAUAAAGUAACGAAGUCCGUGAGCCAUGCGUCAAGAAAAGCCGCUAUUGUUUAUACCGUACCCGUACCGUAAACCGACACAGGUGGAUGAGGAGAGAAUCCUAAGGCCGGCGGAAGAAGCAUUGUCAAGGAACUCGGCAAAAUGGCCCCGUAACUUAGGGAUAAGGGGUGCCUCAGAAAUGAGGCCGCAGAGAAUAGGCUCAAGCAACUGUUUAGCAAAAACACAGGUCUAUGCGAAACCGAAAGGUGAGGUAUAUGGGCUGACGCCUGCCCGGUGCUGGAAGGUUAAGAGGAGAGGUUAGCGCAAGCGAAGCUUUGAAUUUAAGCCCCAGUAAACGGCGGCCGUAACUAUAACGGUCCUAAGGUAGCGAAAUUCCUUGUCGGGUAAGUUCCGACCCGCACGAAAGGCGUAAUGAUUUGAGCGCUGUCUCGACAAUGCAUCCGGUGAAAUUGAAGUACCAGUGAAGAUGCUGGUUACCUGCGCCAGGACGGAAAGACCCCAUGGAGCUUUACUCCAGUUUGGUACUGGGACUCGGUAUUGCAUGUACAGGAUAGGUGGGAGGCUGAGAGACAGUAACGCCAGUUAUUGUGGAGCCGCUGUUGGGAUACCACCCUUGCAGUAUUGGGUUUCUAACCANNNNNNNNNNAGGAGAUAGUAACGCCAGUUAUUAUGGAGCCGCUGUUGGGAUACCACCCUUGCAGUAUUGGGUUUCUAACCAGCCGCCGUGACCCGGCGGUGGGACAAUGCCAGACGGGGAGUUUGACUGGGGCGGUCGCCUCCGAAAGGGUAUCGGAGGCGCCCAAAGGUUCCCUCAGAAUGGACGGAAACCAUUCGAAGAGUGCAAAGGCAGAAGGGAGCUUGACUGCGACACCGACGGGUGGAGCAGGUACGAAAGUAGGGCUUAGUGAUCCGGUGGUAUUAAGUGGGAAUGCCAUCGCUCAACGGAUAAAAGCUACCCUGGGGAUAACAGGCUUAUCACUCCCAAGAGUUCACAUCGACGGAGUGGUUUGGCACCUCGAUGUCGGCUCAUCGCAUCCUGGGGCUGUAGUAGGUCCCAAGGGUUGGGCUGUUCGCCCAUUAAAGCGGUACGCGAGCUGGGUUCAGAACGUCGUGAGACAGUUCGGUCCCUAUCCGGCGUGGGCGUAGGAUAUCUGAGAGGAGCUGUCCUUAGUACGAGAGGACCGGGAUGGACGGGCCGCUGGUGCAUCGGUUAGACUGCCAAGUCUACGGCCGAGUAGCCAAGCCCGGAAGGGAUAAACGCUGAAGGCAUCUAAGCGUGAAGCCCCCCUUAAGAUGAGAUAUCCCAUUCGAAAGAAGUAAACCCCCUUGAAGACGACGAGGUAGAUAGGGCAGAGGUGGAAGUGCAGUAAUGCAUGGAGCUGACUGUUACUAAUCGGGUGAGGGCUUGACCAAG